AUGACGAUGCCGCGAGACAAAGCGGCCCGCUGCCGAACCUCCUCCCCCGUGGCCAGCGCGAUGCCGCUGCUCUUCCUGCUCGUCAUGGUCGCCGCGGCGGCGGCGGCCACGCCGUCGCCGCCGGUGCCGCGCACGGCGGAGGUGCAGGCGGAGGUCGACGCGCUGCUCGCGUUCCGCGCGGCGCUGCGCGACCCCUACGCGGCCAUGGCUGGCUGGGACGCCGCCUCGCCCUCCGCGCCCUGCUCCUGGCGCGGCGUGGCCUGCGCGCCGGGCGGCACCGGCCGCGUCGUCGAGCUGCAGCUCCCGCGCCUCCGCCUCGCCGGCCCGCUCUCCCCCGCACUCGCCUCGCUCCGCCACCUCCAGAAGCUCAGCCUCCGCUCCAACGCGCUCUCCGGGGCCAUCCCGCCGGCGCUCGCCCGCCUCGCCUCGCUCCGCGCCGUCUUCCUCCAGGACAACGCGCUCUCGGGCCCCAUCCCGCCGUCAUUCCUCGCCAACCUCACCGCCCUCGAGGCCUUCGACGUCUCCGCCAACCUCCUCUCCGGCCCCGUCCCGGCCGCGCUCCCGCCCGGCCUCAAGUACCUCGACCUCUCCUCCAACGCCUUCUCCGGCACCAUCCCGGCCGGCGCCGGCGCCUCGGCCACCAGGCUCCAGCACUUCAACCUCUCCUUCAACCGCCUCCGGGGCACCGUGCCGGCGUCGCUCGGGGCCUUGCAGGACCUGCAUUACCUCUGGCUGGACGGCAACCUUCUCGAGGGGACCAUCCCGUCGGCGCUCGCCAACUGCUCCGCGCUGCUCCACCUCAGCCUCCAGGGGAACGCGCUCCGCGGCAUUCUGCCGGCCGCGGUCGCGUCCAUACCGUCGCUGCAGAUACUCUCGGUGUCGCGCAACCUGCUCUCCGGCGCCAUCCCGGCCGCGGCUUUCGGCGGCGAGAGGAACUCCUCGCUGCGCAUCCUGCAGCUGGGGGACAACCAGUUCUCCAUGGUGGAUGUGCCCGGUGGGCUCGGCAAGGGUCUCCAGGUCGUGGACCUGGGGGGCAACAAACUGGGCGGCCCGUUCCCCACAUGGCUCGUCGAGGCCCAGGGGUUGACGGUGCUCAACCUUUCUGGCAAUGCAUUCACCGGCGACUUGCCGGCGGCGGUCGGGCAACUUACUUCGCUGCAAGAGCUGCGCCUUGGAGGCAAUGCUCUCACUGGCACAGUGCCUCCGGAGAUUGGCAGAUGCGGUGCUCUCCAGGUGCUUGUUCUUGAGGAGAACAGCUUCUCCGGCGAGGUUCCUGCAGCCCUUGGCGGCCUCAGGCGGCUCAGAGAGGUCUAUCUUGGUGGAAAUUCUUUCUCAGGCCAGAUUCCGGCUGCUUUGGGGAACCUCUCCUGGCUGGAAACACUGUCAGUACCGAAGAACCGGCUCACCGGUGGCUUGCCAAAUGAGCUCUUCUUGCUGGGCAACCUGACAUUCCUGGACCUCUCUGAUAACAAGCUCGCCGGUGAGAUUCCUCCUGCAAUCGGCAGCCUGCCUGCUCUCCAGAGUUUGAACUUGAGCGGCAAUGCCUUCUCAGGCCGCAUUCCGUCGACCAUUGGCAGCCUGCUGAACCUCCGAGUUCUUGAUCUCUCUGGUCAGAAGAACCUCUCGGGCAAUCUCCCCACAGAGCUUUUCGGUUUGCCACAGCUGCAGCAUGUGUCGCUCGCCGACAACUCGUUCUCCGGCGAUGUCCCAGAAGGGUUCAGCAGUCUGUGGAGUCUGCGGCACCUUAACAUCUCAGUCAAUUCUUUCUCGGGGUCAAUCCCGGCCACCUAUGGGUACAUGGCAUCCCUCCAGGUGCUCUCGGCCUCCCACAACCGCAUCUCCGGCGAGGUGCUAGCAGAGCUCGCCAACUGUUCCAACCUCACCGUGCUUGACCUCAGUGACAACCAUCUGACUGGCCCAAUACCGAGUGACCUCUCGAGGCUUGACGAACUGGAAGAGCUCGACCUCAGCCACAAUCAGCUGUCCAGCAUGAUACCACCAGAGAUCUCCAACAGUUCCUCACUUGCCACUCUCAAGCUUGAUGACAACCAUCUCGUCGGUGAGAUACCGGCCUCUCUUGCCAACCUCUCGAAGCUGCAGACGCUUGACCUGUCAUCCAACAACAUCACAGGCAGCAUCCCUGUUUCAUUGGCUCAGAUUCCAAGCCUUGUGUCAUUCAAUGUGUCACACAAUGACCUUGCCGGAGAGAUACCGCCGGUGCUCGGCUCCCGCUUUGGCACACCCUCGGCAUUUGCUGCCAACCGAGACUUGUGUGGUCCGCCAUUGCAGAGCGAAUGCGGUGAGUACCGGCGGCGCCGGAAGCGACAGAGACUGCAGCGCCUGGCUCUGCUGGUUGGCGCCGUGGCUGCUGCAUCACUGCUCCUCCUGUUGCUGUGCUGCUGCUGUGCGUUCAGCUUGCUGCGGUGGAGGCGCCGGUUUGUUGAGCGGCGUGAUGGCGUCAAGAAGAGGCGGCGCAGCCCUGGACGGGGCAGUGGGUCGAGCGGCACAAGCACGGAGAGCCAGACGAAGCUGGUCAUGUUCAAUUCCAGGAUCACCUAUGCCGACACGGUGGAGGCGACGCGGCAGUUUGACGAGGAGAAUGUGCUUAGCCGUGGCCGCCAUGGACUCAUGUUCAAGGCCUGUUACAGUGAAGGAACCGUGCUGGCCAUCUUACGGCUCCCUUCAACCUCAGCCGAUGGCGCCGUGGUGGUGGAGGAGGGCUCGUUCAGGAAAGAGGCCGAGUCUCUAGGCAGGGUGAAGCACAGAAACCUCACCGUCCUCCGUGGCUACUACGCCGGGCCGCCGCCGGAUGUCCGUCUGCUGGUGUACGACUACAUGCCGAAUGGCAACCUCGCCACAUUGCUCCAGGAAGCGUCUCACCAAGACGGCCACAUCCUCAACUGGCCGAUGAGGCACCUCAUCGCCCUCGGCGUCUCCCGCGGCCUCGCGUUCCUCCACCAGUCCGGCGUCAUCCACGGAGAUGUCAAGCCACAGAACAUACUCUUCGACGCCGACUUUGAGCCACACCUGUCUGAUUUUGGGCUGGAGCCAAUGGUGGUGACCGCGGGCGCCGCCGCGGCCGCCGCCGCUGCAUCGACAUCGGCCACGACACCGGUUGGAUCACUCGGCUAUGUCGCCCCAGACGCGGCGACCGCCGGACAGGCUACAAGGGAGGGCGAUGUCUACAGCUUCGGCAUCGUGUUGCUGGAGCUGCUCACCGGCCGGCGCCCCGGCAUGUUCGCCGGCGAGGACGAGGACAUCGUGAAGUGGGUGAAGCGGCAGCUGCAGUGCGGGGCGGUGGCGGAGCUGCUGGAGCCGGGCCUGCUGGAGCUGGACCCGGAGUCGUCGGAGUGGGAGGAGUUCCUGCUGGGGAUCAAGGUGGGUCUGCUGUGCACCGCCUCCGACCCGCUGGACCGGCCGGCGAUGGGCGACGUGGUGUUCAUGCUCGAGGGCUGCCGCGUCGGCCCGGACAUCCCCUCCUCCGCCGACCCGACCACCCAGCCGUCCCCGGCGUAG
rnacentral:rRNA from 1 species